rnacentral:piRNA from 1 species
GAAGGAGCUGACUCAGAUAAAACAAA